rnacentral:rRNA from 1 species
UACGUAGGAUGCAAGCGUUGUCCGGAUUUACUGGGCGUAAAGCGCGCGCAGGCGGCACUCUAAGUACGUCGUGAAAUAUCCCGGCUCAACCGGGAGGGUGCGAUGUAGACUAGGGAGCUAGAGGUCGGUAGAGGGGGGUGGAAUUGCUGGUGUAGCGGUGAAAUGCGUAGAGAUCAGCAGGAACACCCGUGGCGAAGGCGGCCCCCUGGGCCGUACCUGACGCUGAGGCGAGAAGGCUAGGGGAGCGAACGGG